UACGUAGGGUGCAAGCGUUGUCCGGAAUCAUUGGGCGUAAAGCGCGCGUAGGUGGCCUCAUAAGUCCGCUGUGAAAGUCAAAGGCUCAACCUUUGAAAGCCGGUGGAUACUGUGAGGCUAGAGUACGGAAGAGGCGAGUUGGAAUUCCUGGUGUAGCGGUGGAAUGCGCAGAUAUCAGGAGGAACACCAAUAGCGAAGGCAGCUCGCUGGGACGUUACUGACACUGAGGCGCGAAAAGCGUGGGGAGCGAACG
rnacentral:rRNA from 1 species